ensembl:lncRNA
CCUGUCCAGUUGGUGGCAGUAAAGCGCCAAAAACCUGUAUUGCUACCUGGCAUCAAAAACGUAGAAGAAGAAGAAAAGACCUGCCUGCCGUGAUUUCCGGAUCUUUCUUUCGCUCGAGGACUGCUGUGCAAGCGGUGUCUUCUUUCUCGUGUCUCCUUUGAGCAAAAUGGAAAUUCCUUGACGCCUUUGGAGAGCAUUUAUCUGGCCACCUUUGUUAUGUAUUGGUCAUGAGUUUGAUGCCAUCGUUGUGAUGAGUUUCAAUGGCUACCAGCAAGGUUGAGUCAUUGUGACUCUGUCCUUUCCUGAAAUGUCUGCUAGAUUGAUUUUGAGGUGGUUUGAGGCCUGCUGUGGUGCCCUUCCAGCAUGGGAGAAACACUUGCUUUGCUGUUGUGUUGGAUCACCAAGUGUUCAUUUUGAGCAAGGCAAGAUAUUAGGACAGCAGUGAAUAUUACAUACUGUGAGAUUGACAUAUAACAUUAUUUUUGGUGAAUUUGUUGUCUAAAUGCUGAGAAGUGUUAAAACCCAGAGGUGAAAGCUGUUUUUUGGUUAAUAAAUGUUCAGCUAAAUAAAGAGAGAAAAAAUCA